GUGGGAGCUGUGGGACACGAGAUUUAAGCAGCCUCCAAAAACUAUCGAUAGCCUACACUUGGAAAACUCGAGACAUAGAGGCACAUGGGCACAAAUAAAAGAGACCAGAGUAGAUCUGAAAUUAGGACCGGCUGGGAUUGUAUUGUGCAUCUUUAAGAAGAGACUCUUCUUCUCCUCUGUGUGCACUCCCUGAAGGAAGAGCAUCUCACAUCAAGAAUUUUCCACAGAGAAAGACAAGUGCUGAAGCUCUGGCCGGGCACGGUGACAGGAUGCUUUCUGAUGCCCUGGGUUUGGAUGCAGGUUUGGGAGAGGGCAGAGGGUAUUCAGAGUCAUACCUGUGAGGCAGUCUGCGAGGAAAUGUGCUGACAUCAGAGAUUUGCAUUUUAAAGCCCGGGGAUAGAAGAGGAGGAGGAGGAUACUUCAGUAGAAGAAGCUGAGUUUGCAUAGAUCAGAUCAGGAUUUGAUAUCAGCUGGCUUUACCAUAGUAUAUCUACACAUGUCCUCU